rnacentral:rRNA from 2 species
AUUGAACGCUGGCGGCAAGCCUAACACAUGCAAGUCGAGCGGCAUCGUGUAUACUUUAUUGUAUAUGACGGCGAGCGGCAAACGGGUGAGUAAUAUCUGGGGAUCUACCUAAAUGAGGGGGAUAACCAUUGGAAACGAUGGCUAAUACCGCAUAAAGUUUAGCAACCAAAGGUGGGGGACCGAAAGGCCUCAUGCGUUUAGAUGAACCCAGACGAGAUUAGCUUGAUGGUAAGGUAAAUGCUUACCAUGGCAACGAUCUCUAGCUGGUCUGAGAGGAUGGCCAGCCACACUGGAACUGAGACACGGUCCAGACUCCUACGGGAGGCAGCAGUGGGGAAUAUUGCACAAUGGGCGAAAGCCUGAUGCAGCUAUGCCGCGUGUAUGAAGAAGGCCUUAGGGUUGUAAAGUACUUUCAGCAAGGAAGAAGUAAUUAAAGUUAAUAUCUUUAAUUAUUGACGUUACUUGCAAAAGAAGCACCGGCUAACUCCGUGCCAGCAGCCGCGGUAAUACGGAGGGUGCUAGCGUUAAUCGGAAUUACUGGGCGUAAAGAGCUCGUAGGUGGUUUUAUAAGUCAGAUGUGAAAUCCCUGGGCUUAACCUAGGACUGCAUUUGAAACUGUAAUUCUAGAGUAUCGUA